UGCGUAGGGGGCAAGCGUUGUCCGGAAUCAUUGGGCGUAAAGAGCGUGUAGGCGGCCAGAAAAGUCCGCUGUGAAAACUCGAGGCUCAACUUCGAGCUGUCGGUGGAAACUUUCUGGCUAGAGUCCGGAAGAGGAGAAUGGAAUUCCUGGUGUAGCGGUGAAAUGCGCAGAUAUCAGGAAGAACACCCGUGGCGAAGGCGGUUCUCUGGGACGGUACUGACGCUGAGACGCGAAAGCGUGGGGAGCGAACAGG
rnacentral:rRNA from 1 species